CGGCCGGAGGAGAGCAGUUGGCAGUUAUUUUGCAGUAGACUUUUCUCAGGGAUGAAGGCAAGCUGGCCUCUAGCUGAUCAGCUGGUUGGUGAGGACUCUGCAGGAAGAUAGGGACCAUUGUCAAGAUAGAAGGACGCCCACAAGGUCCAGGUUGAGACCCGGAGGCCCCGAGCGAGCGAUUCUUCUGUCCUACCCAGAAAGGCACCCUCCUAUUCGGGGAGAGCUGUAAGCAGAUGGCCUGGACCCUCUCCAGACCUGCCACCUCUUCAAUGUGGGCAAAAAGUUUGUGCUCAUCAUCACCAGUCGAGCUAUAACAAAGAGCAUGGAGGCGGACCCUGGAUUCACGGUGCCACUUUCUAGCAACUGAGAGGCCAACCUCAAGGGAUCACUCACCUCUGAGAUGAGCUGAUACUUUCACAGCUUGGCGGAGCCCCAGCUAUCCAAAAGAAGAUCUGUUAGGAUGAUUAUAGCUUUGAUUCUUCCCAUUCGCCCUCAUUCCUCACUCCAGUCCUCUGCCUUAGUAAGAGGAAAGAAAGCUCAGCCCUCAGAGGCUGUGUUCUUUGGAAGGACUGUCGACAAGUUAGCUCUUUUGCAGCUGUGAGGAGGAGGCUGGGGCUGGCGGGAAUUCUGCCCCUGGCUCUUUGUCCAGAGUUCAGCUUUGUCACAGAGGUUUUCCCAUUUACCAUCAACAUUGAAACUUUCGUCUUCACCUGGGCCUAGUCUCCCUGUUUUGUGCACUAUUCUGUUCCUCCAAACUGCUCUCCCUGUGAAGAAGGCCUAUGGGAUGCAGGAAGCCUGGCCAGCCACCCAGGCCCUUAUAAAGGCCCUCAUGCCACAGGGGGGAGAAGAGAGACUUAAUAAAGGCUUUAAAAUGCU